rnacentral:tRNA from 1 species
UGAGGUGUUGUUGCCUUCUUCUUGA